CGGGUGCGUAACACGUAAAGAACCUAUCCUUUAGCGGGGGACAGCCCUUAGAAAUGAGGGGUAAUACCGCAUAAGCUAUUCCACACGCAUGUGAGGAAUAGGAAAGGGUUACUUCUGGUAACUCACUGAAGGAGGGCUUUGCGGCCUAUCAGGUAGUUGGUGGGGUAAUGGCCUACCAAGCCAAAGACGGGUAGCUGGUCUGAGAGGAUGGUCAGCCACACUGGGACUGAGAUACGGCCCAG
rnacentral:rRNA from 1 species